GAGGAAUAUUGGUCAAUGGACGAGAGUCUGAACCAGCCAAAUCGCGUGAAGGAAGACUGCCCUACGGGUUGUAAACUUCUUUUGUACAGGAAUAAAAGACAUUACGUGUAAUGUAUUGCAUGUACUGUACGAAUAAGCAUCGGCUAACUCCGUGCCAGCAGCCGCGGUAAUACGGAGGAUGCGAGCGUUAUCCGGAUUUAUUGGGUUUAAAGGGUGCGCAGGCGGGAUUUUAAGUCAGCGGUGAAAUUUUCAGGCUCAACCUGAACACUGCCGUUGAAACUGGGAUUCUUGAGUAUGGAUGAAGUAGGCGGAAUUCGUUGUGUAGCGGUGACAUGCUUAGAUAUAACGAGGAACUCCGAUUGCGUAGGCAGCUUACUAAGCCAUAACUGACGCUCAAGCACGAAAGCGUGGGGAUCAAACA
rnacentral:rRNA from 2 species